rnacentral:rRNA from 1 species
CGGCAAAGCUCAAAUUUGAAAUCUGGUACCUUCGGUGCCCGAGUUGUAAUUUGGAGAGGGCAACUUUGGGGCCGUUCCUUGUCUAUGUUCCUUGGAACAGGACGUCAUAGAGGGUGAGAAUCCCGUGUGGCGAGGAGUGCGGUUCUUUGUAAAGUGCCUUCGAAGAGUCGAGUUGUUUGGGAAUGCAGCUCUAAGUGGGUGGUAAAUUCCAUCUAAAGCUAAAUAUUGGCGAGAGACCGAUAGCGAACAAGUACAGUGAUGGAAAGAUGAAAAGAACUUUGAAAAGAGAGUGAAAAAGUACGUGAAAUUGUUGAAAGGGAAGGGCAUUUGAUCAGACAUGGUGUUUUGUGCCCUCUGCUCCUUGUGGGUAGGGGAAUCUCGCAUUUCACUGGGCCAGCAUCAGUUUUGGUGGCAGGAUAAAUCCAUAGGAAUGUAGCUUGCCUCGGUAAGUAUUAUAGCCUGUGGGAAUACUGCCAGCUGGGACUGAGGACUGCGACGUAAGUCAAGGAUGCUGGCAUAAUGGUUAUAU